AGAGAGAGAGAGAAGUGUGGGUUUGGGUAGUGAGAGAGUUGAAAAGGAAGCAAUAGCGGAUCUGAAGAGGGAAACAGGAAGAGGAAGAGGAAGUGGAGAAUCUGGGUGUAUGUGGCGGUAGAGAAAAUUUGGAUGGUGAAGAAGAGGUCUUUGCUUAAUAUACCCGAAUUUUCUUCGGCUGCUGUUUUGGCUUUUUGUCUGUUCCUCUUCUUUUCUUUUCUUCUCUCUUACCUUACCGGUAUUGCCGUUUUCCCUCUUUCAUUUGGACUCUUUUUCUUUUUUGCUGCUUCUUUUUUCUAUAUUUCUGCCAAAUAUGAGUUUUUAUUUUACAAAUUUAGCCUCUUUGGGAUUUUGACAUGUUUAAAGGAGAAGAUUUGGAUUAUGAAAUUUCAGUAAUAUCAGGUGUUUUUGAAGAUUAGAAGUUGAGUUUACGGCGGAGGAAAGGAUUGAAGUUAUUUCUUAUUACUUUUAUAGUUCUGUUAUUUAUACAAAUGUAUCGUAUAAAUGUAAUUAGAAAACAUAUAUAAUUGUACAAUGCAAUAUUGCUUACUUUGUGAGAGUUUUACAAGGAACAUAUCGUUGUACAUUGAAAGAGGAAUUUUUCCUAAACAAGGUCAACAUUUUGGUUGAAGCAGAGAAAGGUCAAUUUUGGAAUGUUAGUACAUGAGUUUCGUUAUUUCUCUUUGUAUCUUGUUCUACAUGAACUUUAAAAAUAUAAUUUUAAAUAUACACUUUUAAUCUUUUAAUACACACCUCUUGCUUAAUACACUACCCAUUUAGUUUUUCAUUUAAAUAUUAUACUAAAUACACAUCCCAAACUACCUAAAAUACCCUCAAUAUCUAAAACUUUUAUUUUCUGUUAGAUUUUUUUUUAUCGGGUUAGAAAUUUUUUCUUGAUAUUUUUCAAUUUAUAAUCAAAAGAGUAAUAUUAUAUUCAAACUUCAAAUCUCCAAUAUGACAUUAAUCGGCUAGAAUUUGAAGAAAAAAAAAAUAUUGAACAUACAUAAUUUUUUCAAAGUUAAGAAACUAGUAGAAAUACAAUAACAUAAAAACUAGUUUUUAGUCUACAAGAUAAAAACUAUAGUUGAUUAAAAAAAAACUAAAUGAAUCGGUAAAUUGUACAUGUGAUUACGACAGUAGUCGAAAUUCAGGUGAUGAAUUUUGGAGAAGAGGUUUUUAUUUCUUUUUUCUUUUGAUGUGUAGUAAUAGUGGAGAAUUUUCACUUUUCACUUUUCUUAUUUUUUCUUUUUCUUUUCCCUAAUAAUUUAUGGAUAUUUUUGUAAUUAAACAUACCUAUAAAAUCAGAUGUGAAAUAUAAAAUAAGAAGGGUGUGUGUAUNNNNNNNNNNNNNNNNNNNNAGAAGGGUGUGUGUAUUAAGAGAUUUAGAUGUGUGUAUUUAAAAUUUCUCAAAUUAAUAAUCAAUGUAGUGGUAAGAUAAUUUCCUAUGGCUGUCAUAUUUUGUUAAAAAUUAAAAUCCCUUAAAAUUUCUUAUCUCCACUAAAAAUAAUUAGCACGGUGAGGAUCAUACGUAUGUCAAUCAUUUGGUCAGUGAGUCGUGUCUUGGUUGGUUAUUUAGGGUCAUGGAUUCAAAACUCAUUGACAUUUAUAGGGUUUGUGACUUAUUAAUAAUUUUUAUUUUAUUUUUAAAAAAUAAGAAUAAUAAUCAUUUGGUCAUAUGUUUGUUUCUUAAUUUAUUUUGGCUAUUAAUCAAAUCUAUUAUUGCUAGGGUCAACUAACGUAUCAAUCAGAUGAUCUACGAUAGUAAUUGGUUACUGUCGACCAUGGCCUAUAUUACUAUAUAUAGUAAACUAACGAUUCCAAGUGGUUUCAAACUUUCGGUUUCCAAUUCUCUGCCCACUAUUAAUCGGAGUGGAUUUGAAUUGGCGAAACACUAACCACGGAAUUGAGACCGGACUUCAGACCAAAACAUGAUUCUGUACGUUAACGAAGAAGGGCUUGCACUCAAAUUAAGCUUUUUAAUCAGGACAGAUAAUAUGAGAAAAAUAGAAAUUGCUUCAUGGCACUUUGUGCAGAACCAAUAUGUGUAGGUGUUCUGUGUAUUGAUGUAUCACAUAUUCUUCCCGUGAAUAUAUAUGGAUUGUGUUGGCUUUGUUCCCUCGCAUUUUUUUUCUGAAAAUGUGGACCACAUGAUGAACACAAGCAUAUCCUUGGUACACGAAGCAUUGCAAGGCAAUUUGCAGCACCUGGAUAAAAUUUCAUAGUCACUCUAUCGCAUAUUGACGCCAAAUCCUAACAGUGAUGCUUUCGACUCGUUAGUAGAAGCCAAAAAUACUGUUUUCUCUCCUAUGUCUCUGUCAAAACUGUCAAAAAUAUUAUGGUUCUCAACUUCUUAUCAUUUCCUGAAACAACGAACUUGAAAAUGCAUCUGUGACUAGCUAUACAUAGUUACAUACAUAAGGUCUCUCUAAAAGAAGGAUGCUUGUCGUGUUCGAUUUUUCUUGCUAAAAGUUAAAGAGUGUACUCUAGUCAUAGUCACCGGUAUUCAUUCUGUGAUAUGAAUCCAUGUAUGCACCACAAGCUACAUAAUCGAAUAGUUGGAAGUGAAGAGAGUUUUGAUAUAUGCUCCCAGUUACGUGCUUCCAAAUUUGGUAGGAUUCUACUGUGCCGUGACAGCAUUUUUAAAGAAAGCACAACAUACAAACAAAAGCUCCAAGAACCCUAACUCAUAAACAACCUUAUUUCUGUCAACCGUUUUGCGGGUCGAGCCAGAUUGGCUGAACACUGAUCCGGUAUGUGAUUCUUGAGGUCUCAAUUUGAAUGGCAGAUUUGAGAUACGAUUUGAACGAUUCGCCCAACAUUGAUUUGUCUAUGACUUGUGUUAAAAACAGGUUUUCACUGUGGAAUUAGGUUCCAGUCCAAAUUGCCUGCAUGUAUAAUUGCAGAACAUGCCUUUGCUAUGGACAGAAUCUGAGGAUCGGACUAACACUGUUUCUUGCUCAGGUAUUAAGUUCGAACUGAGCUAAGUCAGAAAUUAGAUUUUCCUCAGUUGGAUGAAACCGACGAGAAGAUUUGCAGCUACACGGUUCAACUGAUAAGAGAUAUCUUAGACUACAAGAGGCAUCAAUUUGCAGCACUAGGAUGGACUUUUUAAAACCGAACCAAACAUAUCGUGAAGACAUGUUUUGAACUUUGAAGAUACUGUGAUCAGAAGCGAAAUCCGAACUACAAUACCGACGUUCUCAACUCGUAACUCUGAGACAACAAUGAGCAUCGUCUCUCCCCUGAGAUUGUUUUAUUGUCACAAACCCAUUACACAGAUUGGGUGACUGAAGAGUGAAGAGUGAAGAGUGAAGACCCUCCUCUUGUUCAGGAAAAAAAAAAACACAAGACCCUCCUUAGUUCCAGGUAGUUUAGUUCAUUCAUAACCUUGUUCUUUUAUAUGAAACAAGAUGCUAGAUGAGGGUUUUUCUUUUUCUUUUUUCCCCCUUUGAUAUGCUGUUAAUUAUUUUUUUGUGCAUAUACUAGUAAAUAAAACCUGUCUAACAGUGCUUUAGAUACCACCAGCGCAUUGUUGCGGGCUAGGAUUUAUUGAUAAUGAACAAUAUUCAAUCCUCAUCUCACGUCUCCCAUGCCACCACCUUUUCUAAAUCUACCGCCGAUUCCCCCGCCUUCCCCUAUUUUUCCACAAACACAUCCAUCUUCCUCAAAUCCACCACCAACAUCAUGGCCUCCAUACCUGCAAAAUCUACUGCUCACCUCCAAAUCUACCACCUCAUAUUCCGCCACCUGCACAAAAUUCAUCAUCAACCCCAUAGCCUCUACCGUCCUUUUUUAAUUCCACCACCAUACCAUGGCCUUCCCCUCGCCAAAACCCACCAUGGACACUUCUGACCUCAUGCCCACAACCAAGUAAAAAAUAGAAAAUAAAGAAGUAACAAAAUUUUCAAGGACACAAACAUCUAGACAAUCUUUUUGAACAAUUGCACAUUUGUAAAUAAAUUUGCAUCAUUAAGGGGUAACAAUCUUUUUAGUCGGUAUAAUGGCAAGUUUGUAAAUAAAUUACAUUAAAAGGUAAAAACGACCAUUGUCCAACUAGAGGCACAAACACAAUUCACUGGAACUUGAGGGCAAAAACACAAUCCACAAUAGAUAUGAACAGUGCUUUUCCCCUUAUUGUUUUAUUUUAUAUGAAAUGUGACUUGACUUUCAUAUGGUCAUUCAGCUGAAUAGCUAAAAUAUAGCUAGUCCGUUGGAGAUGCUCAGUCAUUUGGGACAACUAGUCCCGAUAAUUUCUAAGUCGGUUAAAUGCAAGUUCUAAAUACCUAAAAGAAGUAGGAAGUAUCCCUGAACAGUAUCUAUGCACAAACUUACAAGAUGAGAAAUAGGCCAUCUUGCUUUAAGAAAGCAAUCCGAGUCUGAACCUUUGCAGCAGCCGUACUUCUCCCCAUACUAGCGUUUCAAUUACCCGACCAAUAUAACCUGCUUGCCAUAUCAACCUAUCAUCCAACUCGCUAACAGAGUAACGUACAGAUAAAUCGACCAAUUUUGGCAGCCAUAAUUGAAAACUAUGGAUGAGAACAACAAGGAGAAGAAGGGUUUCAUCACCGAAGAAGAUGUCGCCACUCUCUUACAGAGGUACACGGCAACAACGAUACUGGCACUGCUCCAGGAAGUAGCACACCUAUCGCAGUCAGAGAGGAUCGGUUGGGAUUGGUUGGUGGCCAAGACUACUACAGGGAUCACAAAUGCCAGAGAGUAUCAGAUGCUUUGGCGGCAUUUGGCUUAUAGGGAACUUUUACCUGACAAAAUGACAUAGAUCGACCUGAGGAUGUAGACAGUGACUACGAGUAUAAUGUGGAAGUCGCUCCUCCUGUUACUGUCCAAACUUCAACAGAGGCCGCAGCAUGUGGGAAAGUCCUUAUAGCUUCUAGUUUACCAUGCGACCCAAGUCAUCUGAAUGGUACAAGUACAACAGUGGAGACUCCAAUUACAGUAAAUGUACCUAAUAGCCAGUCAACUAUAACAUAUGAAUCAUCUGCCUCAGCAAAAGGCAUGAACAUUACAGUCCCGGUUUCUAUUAUGAAAUAAACCAUUCGUGCAAGAACAACUGCUGCAGCAAAAGCCGGAGGAGAUCAUGCAAAUAAACAGGCUAUGACUCCUCAGAGGAAAAGGCAGAAGGCGGUCUAAGGAGAAGGAUUUGGAACUGAUCACUGAUGUGAACAAUGCUUCAAAGAGGGCAGAACUGCUUAUCAGAUCCUCAGGUCUUUUCCUGUCAGCCCAACUGGUUCGUUGUUGUUCAUUUGUUAUCUUCUAUGUUUCUGAGUUCCUACUUCCAAUAUAGAUGUAUCUGGACUCGUAUAUGGAAGACGGGUACAUGAUUAUGUAGGACAAUCUAAGGCUUAGGAUUUCUGUAGGUUCAGAGGGCAGAUGUUGCUGUCUUCACUUGGUUACCACUUCACACUAAAUGUUCAUGUUGAAUCUGUUUAUUCUUGUCUAGAGAUCACAUCUUCAACGAACCAAAACACUUUAAUUUUAUCUUCAUCUCAUUCACUAGAACUUUGUUUAUGUUGGGUUCUGUUUUAUGUUCAGUUUGAGCAUCCAGCUCGCAAGAGUAAUUGAGAACUUCAUCAUACUUUAUGACUACUAACUCAAUACUGAUGCUUUCAAACAUAGCUCUGUGACAAUGAACUGUCUAUGAUUCUUUUGUUAGAACCAAUAGUGACAAACGUAUCACAUAUGCCCCCUAACCUAUACCAAAAUCUUCUUUCUCUGUUUCAUCUAGGCUACCAUACAGUUGUUCUAGAGGGAUUCUUUAUCUUGGAUCAAGCUCACAGUGUGAAUGCCUUUCCCAGCGAAUCGGAAUAUGAACAAAAAUAAGGUAAGAGGCCAAGCCAAACUCAACAUGGUCCUCCUUGCAUAUGCCCAUGACCAGAGCUUGUGUAAUUGGUAAAAGAUCGAGACAAAGCAGCAAAGCUCCAGAAAGUUGAGACUAUGAGAAACAGAUACAUUCAUAUCUACACUCGCAAUGUUUUCCGACUCUUUGGCACCCAGAGACAGAACGAAAACAGCAAUGUGAUAUGCAUGGGGCAAUAGACACAAUACAAACUGCAAUAAAUGCUUUACUUUCAAAAUUGGCCCCUUCCAACUUUGAUCAUAUCAGUUCACCAAUCACUUGUCGACAACUCGAUGAACAAAAAUGUGAUUGACGGACAUACCUUCAUAGUCAUGGUAGAACAAGAUUUAGGGACCAACAUUGUAAAAGAACUUCGUCAAUCCUUUUUUGGUACGUAUUUGAGAAACCUGAAUAAAGAACAGAAAAUCACAAGUCUUUACGAUGACCAAACAAACUCUCAAUGAACUUGUUUCAAAACAGUGUUUGGCAGACAGGUUCUUACUGUAACACUGAUCAUCUCUGAAAUAUCAGACACAUGAGUACCACCACACGGGCAGGCAGGAUUGUUGCCCAACUUCACAAUACGAGGAGUGCUGUCCUGUAAAAGAUACAGAUCCAGUUAGUAGUCAACAUUCCUAAAACUAACAUGUGAAAGGUCUGUUGAUGCCCUCCUUUGGCCUAAUGGACUAAUGGUUAAGGAAUAACCUUUGGAAUAUAAUCGGGAAGGUCUUCACCACACAGCUUACAUGCUUCCUCAUAUGAUACUACUGCAACAAAAACCUAAAAGACAAGGUAAAGGCACAUGUAGCAAAAGAUUUAUAUUAUGUCAUACUAAGCAAGAAGCAAGAAGCAUUAACAAUAUCAGGACUCACUUUCCCUCCUCUGGAUAUCAAUGCAUUGGCUUCCAGCUCCAACUCUUUCUGCUUACUUUGCAAAUCUUUCUGUGGAACUAUGCCUAUAUAUUCCACAUAUGGCCUGGAAACAGGUACAUUUAUAAGUGCUAGAUUCCGCCAAAAGGAUUUUCAAACCAAUGACAACAUUGUUUCAAACAACACAACUGCUCAAAUGACUUGGAAUAUUAACACAGAACAGUAGAUCACUACUUUUGAGACAUGUCCUAGAAGAAUUAAUAGAUCAAAAACAUAGACUACAUGGAUAUUUCUUAAUCUGAAGCAUCUGUGGUUUCUUUAUAUCACAUAAGGCUCUUUGGACUAGGCUAUUUUGGAUGGCUUGGUUUGAAGGCUUUUCUUUCUAGGGUAAGAGCUCCUGUGAUGGAAGCUCCACAUGUUCAUGGAGUUGCUGAAAAAUUUUCAGUUCAAGAAUUAGGCUCAAGAGGAAGGACCACUUUCUGUUACAUUGGUAUUUUCUUGGACAGCCUACAAUGUCUGGAAUGAGAUGACUAUACAUGCUUCAUUAAUAAACCUGACAACAAAGAAACAAACUUUCUAGCAGAGGAUCGAACAAGAAAUUACAGUAGGCUACCAAUCUUCAACAUCUGAUUCUAACAGAAGAUUACAAAACACUUAAACCAUGUAUAAAGGACUAUUCCUAUAGAAACUAGAUAGAUAAGAAAAAUAUCACCACUACUUCUAAUCAAGGCGGUAGACAACGAAAUAAAUCAUACCCCUGAGGGAAAUGGUAGCCUUUGCUCGGCUUUAACUCGCCUAAUCCCACAUUCUUCAUACACGCAUCUAGCAAAUGCCCAGCUGAAUGAAUCCUGCACAAAACAAUCAACAUUCACCAAAAUAGAAACCAAACAUAAUUUCCUAAUAACCACUAAAUUACCCAAAAAAUCACCAUAGAUAAGUAAAUAACCUCUACAUUGCUUUAAAAUUACCGGAAAUUCAAACUAAUCAUACCUAGAAUUAAGCUUCCGCCUAGACUCAUCAACAUGCAACACCACCUCUCUCCCUUUGUCAAACUCCUCCGCCCACUCCUCGCCGGAAUUCUCCACCAAACCGUAGUGGUAAACCUUCACAGAUUAAAAUCACUAAAUUCACUUCCACCAUAAACCAGAAAUGAAAAUUCCAAAUUGAACCCGAACAGUCGAUCACUCACCACACCGUCUUUGGACCGCACAUCUUGCACGACGAACUUCACCUCCGAGCCAGCAACGCCGACGAAGCCUGUGUCCGCCGGUUGACCGCCGCCUUGCGGAUGGAACACCGUCCGGUCCAAAACCAAACCGGUCCGGCCAUCUUCACCCUUUAACAAACACAAACCAAAUUAAAACCCUAAACUUCGAUUUACAGAAGCUAAUCAAGCUCAAGACGAAGAACAAGUAGCCAAGUCAACACCUUGACCAGCGCCACCACUGUGGCAGUGGAUUCGAGCUUCCACAUGUCGUCGUAGUAAUCAAGCCUCGUGGCGCCGAUCGUAGCCAUGGCCACGUCACACUCGCCGAUCACCGACCACCGACAACCGACUCAGCUCAGGCGUUACGUACACGACUCUCGACACAACUCUGGCACCGUAGAAUAUAAUACGUUUUUUGCUUAUAACCCGCGAAGCUGACGAUCAGCUACCAGCCAAACGCCACCGUUUCGGCUCCACUUUCUAAACGUCGUCGUUUUCUGAAAUUCGUCAUCAGUGACGCAAGAUAAAAAAAAAACCCACGUCACGGUGUUUGGUUCGGUUUCAAAGCUAUCGAGGUAAAUAUAGUUAACCCUAGGGUAGAUAGGACUGAAUUUUACCACGUACGUAGUUAUUGAUUGGUAAUUUGGUAUAUGGAAAGUUGGAAACCAAAUCCAAUUUAGCUACGUACUUAAGCCGACUUCAAAUAGGAAUAGAAUUCCUUGUGUUACCUCCAUCUCUAUAUAUAUAGUACGUACGUACGGACAUUUUUUUAUGCAAUCUUGGGUUUCUAAUUUUGGUUGUUCGUAGCGAUAGUAAGGAUUAGAAUCCAUGGCGACUCUCUCAAUAACAAGGAACAAGAAGGUUAGGAAGAAUAGGAACUCAAGAAAGGGUGGCUCGGUUUUGAAGUCACUUCCCAAUGAGCUGCUGCUCGAAGUGAUUGCUAAGGUUGCAUCGAAUUCUUUCGACGUGUUUUGGCCACGAUCCUCAGCAGGGGUAGAGAGGUAACUUGUGCUACCAAAAAGUAAAUUAGAGUUUGCAGGGCGUGCCACCGCGCGGACGCGGAACGAAAACGGUGCGCGUUCUUGACUUCUAAUCAGGCGAAGUAGAGCUCCGGUGUCACCUCGCGGGCGAGGAAUUACGAGCAAACUAUCUAGUCACCUGUGAAUCGAUACUCACUGUUUGAAGCGAGCAGAGCAACAAUUGGGAAAGAGAGGCGAGUCCAGACGGGAUCUGAGAUCUAAGACGAGGUGCACUUAGAACUUAGGGUUUCAAGGAUGCUUGAAGAUUUGCAAUUGUUUUGUAUGAUUGAUUGUCUGUCUUUAAACCAGAUUCUCGAACUCUCUUAUAUAGCGAUCCGUAAGCAAUUCGCAGAGACCUAAUCACAACUCCAUUCGGACUCAGCAAUUAGAAUUCCACCAGGAAACGACUAGCUCGCGAGCCGCGCGAUCCAUGCAACACGUGUCCAAAACAAACUUCGCCUAGGUCCCGCUCACCUCCCCGCAUCAUAUCACUAUAGCGUCGUACGCGAACUCGAACACUAAGCGAUCCUAUCCCGCGGGUACUACAGUCCAUUUCCUACCUCGCCAUGCACUGUAAGAACAAAGGAUCCCGCGAGGACAUCGAAUCCCGCGAGGUAUCAGAAUCUUUGCAAAACUCCAACUCGCGUGUUGCUAGACUUCGCCACCCUUCGUGGGCUUCGCAUUAAAAAAGAGCCACAGGUGUUGGCCCAAAUGUUAUCCAAAACCUACCCCGAGUCUUGGACCAAAAAUACCCACUGGGCUCAAACACGACGAUCUCUGCCGCAUGAGGCAAAGCUGCAAGGAGAUUAACAAGGCGGGGCAAGACGACUAUAUAUUUCAACAUGUAUCCCUCGACAAGUUUCGAUUCAAUCCUUUGAGGAAAAGAAAACGAUAUUUGGAACUUUUGAGAAGUUGCGGCAAGUGUGGCUUUGUAUCGACAAGGAGUGCUUGAGCUUUUCAACUUGAAGGAAUUCGAUUUCGAAUCGGGAUUCGAGUGUUUGAAGAAAGAUGCAGCAAGAGGUCACAGAGAAGCAACGUAUGUUUAUGGGGUGUUCUUGGCUUGUGUAGGAGGUGAGAUGAAGCAACAAGAUUUACGAUCCUUGUGUAGUCUAGGUCGUAAAGAUUUGCGUGAAUCAAGAGAAAGGAUUAUGACUUGCAUUGGGAGUAUGUGGGUGAACAAAGUAGUAGUACGUAAAAUGCUUGCCUAUAAUGCUCGUGAUAAAACAUGCGGCCAAUGUGGAAAUUUUCGGGAUAAUAAUUUUGUGACUAAAGGAGGCUGGGACGACCAUUAUGAUGAGGGUGACAAUCUAAAUGGGUGUGAUUCAUGCAAGAUGAAUCAAGAAGUAUUAAUUUUUUGUGAUAGAUUACGUAGUUGUAUAGGAGCGAAUUUAGUUUAAAUUUGAAUAUUAGUGUUAGUGGAUUGGCGUUAUAUAUGAUUGGGUAGUGCUAGAGGGUCUUAAUAAAGCCUAAGAUUUAUGGCCUUAAUCCUAUGUGGCAUGUCAUGUAACCUAGACAUAUCAUCAAUUUUUAAAAUCAAGCCAUGUUAAUCUUAAAUGAAAAAAUAAUGUUAACCCUGACAAUUAAUGGCUAAUACAUACUAAAAUGGAAUAUUUUCUUACCCUAAUUUAUUUAUAAUGGUGUAGUUAAUAAUCAUAGCAAGAGAGGCUUUUAUUCCAUAAACGUAAAUUUCUUUCCAUCUUUGAGAAUCUAAACUUAGUUAUAGACUUUUAAAUUAUCAAUUUUUAUUUUAUUUUUACGGAUUAUAAUUAUUAUGCCAUAUACAUGCCUUACUCUCUAUCAAAUUUUUUUAAAAAAAUAAAAAAUAGAAAAACCUCUAUCAAAUUUCUUUUGGAUGAAUUACAUAUGUGACGCCCCAAUUUCCGAAUUAUAAUUUUCAAAAAUUUUAGCAUGAUAUAUCUUAAAAUAUUAAUAUCCCAAAACUUGUUUCAACAAAAUUCAAGGAAAAUAAACUCAAUGCGGAAUGUAAAUUUACACACAACUCCAAAUUGAGUUAAAUAUUACAUUUCCUUGUUUACAUAACUUAAGAGACAAGAAAUGAAACGCUCACAUGAGUUUAAUAAUUCUUAUCCCAAUGUAUAUAAAAAGAAUAUACAGUGAACAACUAAAACCCAACAAAAACCCUGCCACUAAGCCUCCACCUCAACCCUGCUGAUCCUCACCUGCAGGUCUAACCCCUACACCAAGAAAUGGUGCACCAGGUUGUAAACAACAAACCCGGUAAGCUAAAAAGCUCGUAUGAGUAAACUCAAAAAUAACACAACAUUUAUCAUAUCCAAUAGGGAAAAUUUCAAAAACAGUACACCAAUUAUGGUCCACUCUAAAGAUUAGCACAUUAUCUUUCAAGAAAAUCAAAACAGUACAUGAAGUUGUAAUUAUGACCCAAAAUCGAUACAUGCCAUUAUUUUUUCUGUUAUUUGGUGUCUCUACCGUUAAACUUCAAAGGAUAAAUUCGUCCUUCUCUUGGUUCCUCCUUCUAUCUCUGAAACAAGAAAAAACUGCAGCAACUUUGCAAACUUUUUUAAAUAUAAAAUAGAUGANNNNNNNNNNNNNNNNNNNNCAUGCUCAUCUAUUUUAUAUUUAAAGAGUUUGCAAAAUUGCUGCAGCUUUUUCUAGCUUCAGAGAUAGAAGGAGGAAGCAAGAGAAGGACGAAUUUAUCUUUUGAAGUUUAACGGUAGAGACACCAAAUAACAGAAAAAAUAACGGCAUGUAUCGAUUUUGGGUCAUAAUUACAACUUCAUGUACUGUUUUGAUUUUCUCAAAAGAUAAUGUACUAGUCUUUAGAGUGGACCAUAAUUGGUGUACUGUUAUUGAAAUUUUCCCUAUCCAAUAUUCCACAAGAGAGAUUUGAUCAAUAAUUAAAAACCACACAUCCAACACAUUACCCAAGAAAUGUACCCAUGAGUCCCAGAUAUUUAAAAAAAUACCCCUCAUGACCUACAACCACACUAUGUGUACCCAUGGAUCCCAGAUACCAUACAGUAUCUCUCAUGACCGACACUGACAGACGGACUAGAGCUCUAUUCCUAACCGCAACCAAUCACCCGGCCAAAGGCUUGGAACCCGGUUUGACUGUCUAAUAUCAAACACAAAAAUGAUAAAUAGCAACUUAAUCGCAACCAAUCACCCAAUUAAGGCUUGGAACCCGGUUUGGCUAUUUAUCCAACAAUCAUAAUAUCACAACAUUAUCCUCAACAACACAAUAUCACAUCAUUAUUCUCAACAACACAAUAUCACAUCAUUAUUCUAAACAACACAAUAUCACAUCAUAAAUUAUAUCCUACCACAUGGAUAUAUUUACAUGAACAAUUAUAGAUAUUCCACAAGAAUAAUCUAACCAAAAAUCAAUAAAAUUAUGAUCACAUGAAUCUCAAAAUAGCAUUUAAAGAAAACUUGUUUUAUCUUACCUAUAAGCCGUUGGCGAUCAAGCUCAUAUAUUUUUAAAAACAAAUAAAAGCAUAUUAUUAAAUCCAAUCUUAACCUCAUUAUCAUCAUCACAUGACCAUAAUAAUCAUUCGGUUCAAAAGUGAACCUUAGUGAGAUUUACUCACCUAGAUAGCCCACUGCGUUUCCGCAAAACAUAAGAGCAAGCCAACUCACAAUUUCACAAAUCACCUGAGACUUCGACCAAUUUUGGCCGGAACCGGCCGGAAACCGCCCUGAACCGUGACCAAAAAAUCAACUACAAAACCUAAGGAUGCCCCUCGUCGCCGCCGUAUACGGCAACUCUGACCGUGGCACAGCAGCCCUCUUUCCGGCAACACAGUUCCGAUUCCGGCAUGCUACACCGAGCAGCAGCUGCCCAGCCUUGAAGAGCACACUUGUGGGAGUCAAACGGGACCGGCGGCGGUCUAAUCUGUGGCCGGACGGCCGACUUCUUCUCCGGCGAAAUUGGCUGCUCGCAAGUCUCGGGAAGGAGGAGAGAGAGUGAACAGUUAAGUUUUCUGAAAUUAGGGUUUCCACCCCCAAAACUUUUCUAUUUAUCCCAAACUCCCGAAAAGCCACAAACUUCCGUUGACCAUAACUUUCUCAUACGAAGUCCGUUUCAGGCGUGCCACAUGUCUACGAACUCGUAUCGACAAACUCUACAACUUUCAUGAAGGAAGUUUUUGAAGAUAACUUACGGAAAAUAAAGUCAAAUUUUGGCCUCUUAAAAGUCAAAGCACUUAAAUAGACUCCCGAAACUUUAACUUCGCAUAACCCCAAGAAUUUCUAUAAAUAAUCCUUCAUUAAAAAAGGGAAUAAUACAAGGAAAAUUGAUAUGAAAAUCUAGUGUAUUACAACAUAUAUAUAUAUAUAAAUAUAAAUUACAUAUAUAUAUAUAAACUUUAUUUAGACGAAUUAUAUAUGUAAAUAUUUUUUCUUGGACAAAUUAUAUAUAUAGAAGUAUGUAUAUAUAUACAUAUGAUUCAUAAUUUUAAUCGAGCAAAUAUACUAUCAAAAAUAUAUGUAUUUUCACAUUGUAUUUUAGUGUUUAAUCUAAGCAUGAUUGUGAUGAAAAAGAAAAGAAAAAGAAAAGGUUAGAAAUAUACAUUUUAUUUUAUUAUAUAAGAAAAACAAAAUAAUCUAAAGCCAUUGAAUUUGGAAUGAUAAGAUUGUAUUUUACCCUAAAACAUUAGAAAAACUGAAGAAAGAAAAAAGAUUAAACCUAAAAUUGAAACAUAUAAAACAUGGAUAAAGAAUUAGAACACCAAUUCACCCAGACUUGAAUGGGAUUUCUAGUAAGGAGCCAUAAAUACAAAAGAAAAGGGAAAAAAAUGUAAGAAGAAUAUUGCGAACAAUUUCAAUCAAGUUAUGAACAAAAAUCCCAGAAAAAAGAAAAAAAAUUGAUCGGUACAGAGGUUAGAUGACAUAGAUUUCUGCAGGGGAAAAUGAUAAAAGGCAAUGUGGGCUGAAGUUGUGCUUUAACUAUUAUAUAAAUAGAUGUUUACAAAUUUCUUAACUGUAGGUUAUAUUGCAAUAUUUGAUUAAAUAUUCUAUAGUAAGUAAGGUGAACAAAGUAUAUAGUUGGGUGGCCAUAGCCAUAUCCUAAAAUAAAAGUUUAUCACUAUCUUUUUUUUUUUUGAAAUAAAGGGCUCAUAAUACCAAUUGUAUGACCCUAUGUUCACAUAACAAGAACUCGAAGGCAGGCAAGUGAGCCAAACACAGUUUGGCUAUAGCCCCACUCCAACACUCGAAUUUGAGGAUCUAGAGUUUGUGUUGGGACCAAUGAUGCACUAGGUAUUCUGAAGAUGUCACCAAAGAAGAGGGGUCGACACCGGGGCAGCAAAAACAUGAAGAUAACCAUGAAUCCGGCAUCAGAUUCCAUGGGCUCUGGUUCGGGCACUUCAAAGCACACUGCCUCUCCUGAGGCAGAUGGGGAGUAGUUACCUUGGGGAAGGAACAAAGAUCAAGGUGAUCCCCUCAUUGAUGAACAAGUACACUGCCUCUCCUGCUUCUCCCUACACAAAUUGAUCAAGGUGAUCCCCUACACCCUGACGAACAAGUACAUUGUUGGGUCUCUAGCCCUCUUGUUGAUGUUUAGGUACUCUGAAUUAGCUUGUGUAUGUAAAUUGCUUUUUAGUAUAAUUGUCUAAGGCCACGAGUGGGAACGACCAACCCUCUAGGUUUACCCUUGACCAAAAAAACAUAUCUAAUUGUGGUGAAAAACUACAUAACCAGAUUAAUCCAAGUGUUACUAAGCCUCAUUCUCUCGAUGACGCUUCUCAAAAAGCGUCAUUCCAUUCUUUCAAAGGUCUUGCCCAUAUCAAGCUUGACUGUCAUAGAUCUGGUCCUUGAUCUCUUAGCAUGGAUAUAAUGGGAGGUCUUAUUAGCGUAUUAUCAGUAAUGAGUCUGCAUGGAAUGAAUGCACUCUUAAAAGGGGAGAUUAUCACAGAAAGAAUGCGUUGGAAACUGUUAGCUAUCACCUUGGAACAUAUUUUAAAUCAUAUUGCAAAGAGCAACUGGUCUUAAAUCUGUCAUGUUUUUUGGCGUAUCCACCUUUGCAAUCAAGCAAAUAUAGGUAAAAUUUAUUUGUCUUUAUAACUUAUCAGAAGAAAGACUUUAGCCGACGAAAGUAAAAAAACCAGACCGACGAAUUAUUUUUUCGUCGGCUAAAGUAAAGUCGACGAAAAUAAAAAAACCAGACCGACGAAUUAUUUUUUCGUCAACUAAAGUGGACUUUAGCCGACAAAAUUUCCCUCGGCUAAUUAAAAAUUUUCGUCGGCUAUGGUCAAUUUUAGCCGACGAAAUUAAAAUUUCGUCGUCUGAAUUAAUUUUUUCGUCGGCUAUAGUCUGUGAACUUUAGCCGACGUAAAUUUUUAAAGUUUAGCCGACGAAAAAUAUAAUUUCGUCGGCUAAAGUGCCUUAUAUUUGCAGAUCUUGACAACAACUCAUCUGGGAAAANNNNNNNNNNNNNNNNNNNNNNNNNNNNNNNNNNNNNNNNNNNNNNNNNNNNNNNNNNNNNNNNNNNNNNNNNNNNNNNNNNNNNNNNNNNNNNNNNNNNNNNNNNNNNNNNNNNNNNNNNNNNNNNNNNNNNNNNNNNNNNNNNNNNNNNNNNNNNNNNNNNNNNNNNNNNNNNNNNNNNNNNNNNNNNNNNNNNNNNNNNNNNNNNNNNNNNNNNNNNNNNNNNNNNNNNNNNNNNNNNNNNNNNNNNNNNNNNNNNNNNNNNNNNNNNNNNNNNNNNNNNNNNNNNNNNNNNNNNNNNNNNNNNNNNNNNNNNNNNNNNNNNNNNNNNNNNNNNNNNNNNNNNNNNNNNNNNNNNNNNNNNNNNNNNNNNNNNNNNNNNNNNNNNNNNNNNNNNNNNNNNNNNNNNNNNNNNNNNNNNNNNNNNNNNNNNNNNNNNNNNNNNNNNNNNNNNNNNNNNNNNNNNNNNNNNNNNNNNNNNNNNNNNNNNNNNNNNNNNNNNNNNNNNNNNNNNNNNNNNNNNNNNNNNNNNNNNNNNNNNNNNNNNNNNNNNNNNNNNNNNNNNNNNNNNNNNNNNNNNNNNNNNNNNNNNNNNNNNNNNNNNNNNNNNNNNNNNNNNNNNNNNNNNNNNNNNNNNNNNNNNNNNNNNNNNNNNNNNNNNNNNNNNNNNNNNNNNNNNNNNNNNNNNNNNNNNNNNNNNNNNNNNNNNNNNNNNNNNNNNNNNNNNNNNNNNNNNNNNNNNNNNNNNNNNNNNNNNNNNNNNNNNNNNNNNNNNNNNNNNNNNNNNNNNNNNNNNNNNNNNNNNNNNNNNNNNNNNNNNNNNNNNNNNNNNNNNNNNNNNNNNNNNNNNNNNNNNNNNNNNNNNNNNNNNNNNNNNNNNNNNNNNNNNNNNNNNNNNNNNNGAAAGUUUUUCGUGUGGAAGGUUUGACCAAACUACGUAAUAUAGAGGGAGAUAUGAGCGUUUUCGUGAAUUUAUAGACUUUAGCCGACGAGAUAUUAAAAAAGUCGUCGGCUAAGGUCAAAAAUUUUGGGUGGUAAUUUUCAAAGGUCUUUAGCCGACGAAAAUAUAUGAAAAUUCGUCGGCUAAAGUCGAAAAUUUUCAAAAUUUUCAACCAAAAUUUUUUGGCGGUCAACCAAAAUUUUCAAAAGAGUUUAGCCGACGAAAAUAAAAAAUUUUGUCGGCUAAAGUUUUUUAUAUAGGAGUUUUACCGAAGGUGGAUGGUAAGAAGUCUAUUUCGCCUGCCAGAUUUUCUUCUCGGCCUAGCUCCGCCGUCAAGCCACCGGAGACCGCCACACUUGUCCCAAAAGCUUCGCCGUCGUCUCUACUUCAUUGCUGGAUAGGUGGUGCAUCGAGUGGCGCCGCCGUGAGAGAUAAAUCGAGCUCCAAAACUUCGCCGGUUCGGAUUCGGUGUCGAUCGAAUUUCUCCUUCCUCAGGUCACCAUUUAGUGAGUUCUAUAUAUGGAUAAGUUGAGUUUGAUUAGUACUACAUUCCCCUAGAAUUUGAUAGCUCGAUUCGGUGUGUGUGAGGAGAAUCGAAGAUUUGAAGUUUUUAGGGUUUAAAAUUGGGGAUUUUUAUAUUUUGAUUCAAUUGACCUAUUUAGGCUUAGAAUUGGGCUUCGACUUCUUCUAGAAAGUUGUUCGAAAUGUUGAGAAGAAGAUUCUGUCAAAUUUUGGUGGUGAUUGGAGGUGGCCGAAAGUUUCUGCAGUUUUUUUUUUCAAAAACCAGCAACUUUAGCCGACGAUAUUUGAAGGUUUAUUAAGGUUUAGCCGACGAAUUAUGGCAUAUUUCGUCGGCUAUAGUUAUUUUUUAAAUUUUUUAUAAGGUUUAGCCGACGAAACAGACUAUAUUUCGUCGGCUAUAGUUAUUUUUUUAAUUUUUUUAUAAGGUUUAGCCGACGAAACAUACUAUAUUUCGUCGGCUAUAGUCUGAGAAAAAAAUUUUUAUUACAGACUUUAGCCGACGAAUAUCUUAAUUGUUUCGUCGACUAAAGUCUGGGAAAAAAACCGACGACAUGUUUUUCAUCGGCUAAACUGCGGGACUAUAGCCGACGAAAUUUUUUUUUUCGUCGGCUAAAGUCAUCACAUACGACCUUUUCCCGACGAAAUCUUAACCGACGAUGGCUCGUCGGCUAAGAUCUUAGACGACGAAUUAAGCUAACAGGCCGACGAAAAUUUUUCGUCGGCUAAAGUGCUUGUCCUGGUAGUGUUACCAGACUACAGAAAAUUUUGAACUGCUGCAACAACCUCAGGUGGCUUGACUCCUAAUCUACUUAAACAACAAAUAUUUCCCAAAAUGGGAAGUCGAAAACUAUAAUCUCUUAUGAUUGUGAUUUGUCGAUACCUAAACUGACUUAACAUCUGAGAAGACCGACAACCCUGGUCUAUCCUCGAACGUAGUGUUUGUUUUGACAAUUAUAACGGUACAGGAAGAGCACAAAACUUGUGUUCCACUUAAUCGCGUUAUCAUGAGCACACCUAAAACAAUAUUCCAUUUAUUGAUGAUGGUUGAGGUAGAGAUCAUAAUCGAGCUGCACUUAUUUCGGUUAAAUUUUAGACACUAAACUGUCACUGUACGUACUACCACUUCUGUUUUUGACGUCACUUAUUUCAGUUAAGAUAACAACUUUAGACAUCACCAACUAUCAAAAUGUGAUUAGUGUUUCAAGAUGAAUUAUUGAGAAAAUGAUAGAUAGUAAAGAGAAUGGAUAACCAUCAUCUUAUUUAUUGAUAUGAACCAUUUCUAUAGAGAUUACAUAGCAUCAUAAGGUGUUGUAUAAAGAAAUAUAUCUUUGAUAUCAUAUCUCUAUAUAGAAUCGUGAUUCCUUGUUUGACUAGCAUUAGAUCAAAACACACACAUAUAGAAUAUUCGUGCAACAAUUAGCAAUAUGUAUCAUAUAGAAUGAAUAUAUUAGCAUACGGCGAUAAUUCCAACUUUAUGUCAUUAUCCUUUUUUGUUUUGAAAACUAUAUGCUCUUUAUCUUGUUGGAUAUAUGUCAUUGUAAAUGGAUAGAAAAUGUAUCUGGUAAGUAUGCAAAAGAGUAAAUGGUUAUUUCUGAAAGCCUUGCUUCCAAUAUUACUAUAAAAGACUAAUAUCAAACAAAUUGUUAAUUUGUUACCAUAAAAGACGAUUUCAGGAAAACAAGAUUAAUUUGUCACCGUAAAAGUUGAUUCCAAAAAAGGCAAAACUCAACAAAAUCCAACGAAUGUUCAACAAAAUAUAUUCAACAUUAACAAAGCACAGUAACCACCUAGCUACUAAACAUAAAACCUUAGCAAUUACCACUAAUACCAACUCAGCCAAAGUAACAAUAAACCAUAACUGUUAAUGGACUCGCUGAAGUCAUCCUCGAGCUUCUGAAACACCACCUCACAAUUUGCAUGCAUCAAAAGUGGAUGGUGGUGAUCGAUGAGUGUAACGGUGAUCUUUGUGAUUUUAAACAAAUAAAAUAUUCUGCACUUCUAGCUUCAAUGGCGACAGUCUGUCAAGUCCUCUCUUCUUCCUCACUAGUAUAAAUGGUCUUCCUCUUUGCUGUGGUUCAUCAUCCCCAGCAAGCCAUUGAUCUUAAGAGAAAGGGAGAAAGAUUAGAAGUGAGGCAAAAUGGAGAACAAUGUGUUUGGGAAUUACUUGGUGGUCAUAGUAGGGGCCGGCCCCUCCGGCAUUGCAACCUCAGCUUUGCUCAACUCCAUGUCGAUUCCAAACAUUGUCUUUGAAAGGGAGGAUUGUUGUGCUUCCCUGUGGAAGAAACGAUCCUAUGAUCGCUUGUGUCUCCAUUUAGCUAAGAACUUCUGCUCUCUGCCGAUGAUGCCGCAUUCGUUCAGAACUGCAACAUUCAUGUCCAAAGACAAGUUCGCAGACUAUGUGGACAAGUACGUGACUCGUUUCAACGUCAACCCGCGUUACUGUCACAAUGUCGAAUCGGCACUGUACGAAGAAGCUAAUCAGAAAUGGAAGAUCGAGGUGAAGAACACUGAGGUAACAGAUGGUGUGGGUUCCCUCCAAGUGUAUUACGCAGAUUUCUUGGUAAUUGCGACUGGAGAAAACAGUCGACCUGUUACCCCAGAGUUGCCUGGAAUAGAGACCUUUAAAGGAAAUGUUAUGCAUGCACAAGAUUAUAAGUGUGGAGCUAGUUUUAAGGAUCAGAAUGUGUUAGUUGUUGGUUGUGGCAAUUCUGGCAUGGAGAUCAGUAAUGAUCUUGCAGAGAGUGGAGCUCAUGCAUCGAUUGUCGUCAGAAGCCAAGUAAUUAACAUCUUGAUCUUUUUCUUUAUUUAUGUUUAUGUUCAUAUAUAUACACAGCUCUCUCUCUCUCUCUNNNNNNNNNNNNNNNNNNNNNNNNNNNNNNNNNNNNNNNNNNNNNNNNNNNNNNNNNNNNNNNNNNNNNNNNNNNNNNNNNNNNNNNNNNNNNNNNNNNNNNNNNNNNNNNNNNNNNNNNNNNNNNNNNNNNNNNNNNNNNNNNNNNNNNNNNNNNNNNNNNNNNNNNNNNNNNNNNNNNNNNNNNNNNNNNNNNNNNNNNNNNNNNNNNNNNNNNNNNNNNNNNNNNNNNNNNNNNNNNNNNNNNNNNNNNNNNNNNNNNNNNNNNNNNNNNNNNNNNNNNNNNNNNNNNNNNNNNNNNNNNNNNNNNNNNNNNNNNNNNNNNNNNNUCUCUACUCUACUCUCUCUACUCUCUCUCUCUCUCUCUCUCUCUCUCUCUCUCUCUCUCUCUCUCUCUCUCUCUCUCUCUCUCUCUCUCUCUCUCUCUCUCUCUCUCAGAUCAUUAACAUGGUUUUCUUUUGAGUUCGAAGAGAGAAGUUUGAUCAGCAUACAGGAUCUUGGUGUAUUGGAUGAGAAAGAAGUUUGGAGUAUUCUUUUUUUCGAUGAAACAGUUUAUAAUUUGAGAAGCUAGCUAGCUAGGGUUUCUCUCUCAUUUUUUUAAAGAAAAAUGUUAGAUAGCAUGCUCAACUACUGUAAUUUUUCAUGAUGUGAUAAAGAAAAAUAUUUAAAAUUGAAAAAUUGGUUUUCAAAAGUUUCUUAUUAGCUAUGUUUAUAUAAAUAUAUAUAUAAUUAUUAUAUAUAUAUAAUUUCAUAAUGACAUACUAAUGUUAUCAGGUAAUUUUGCAGGUUCAUGUGCUGAGCAGAGAACUUGUUCGGCUUGGGAUGGUACUGUUGGAUUAUCUCCCAAUGAAUAUUGUUGACAGGUUUAUUCUAUAUCUUGCCAAGUUCAGCUAUGGUGACUUGCCCAGCUAUGGCAUUUCUCCACCAGUUGAAGGGCCUUUUUUCUUCAAAGCACUUACCGGAAAGACUCCUGUAAUUGAUCGUGGAACUGUGAAAAAAAUUCGCUCCGGAAAGAUUAAGGUUUGUAAUCAUAAUUACUAGCACACAACAUUUAUUUACAACUAAUGAUAGAAAUACUUCAUGCAUGCAAGGUUCCAAGUACACUCGGUUUUUUGGACAACAAAUAUUGGGACAGAGUAAAACAAAGAGUUACAGAGUUACGAGAUCUUUUUAAGUAAACUUUAAUGAUGAUUUUACAUCGAUGUUUUUUAUGAUAUAUUGAUAGGUUUUCUCCGGAGUAGAGACAAUACGGCACAAUAUUGUGGAAUUCAAGAAUGGUUCUAUACAGCGUGUUGAUGCCAUUGUCAUGGCCACUGGUUAUCGAAGCGUAGCACACAAAUGGCUCAAGGUAAAAUAUAUGCAUAAUCGAUUAUAAAAAAUCAUUGAGUACUUUUGAGAGGUUCUAAUGGCAUGUUGAUAUAUUGUGUAGGAUUAUAAGGUCAUUCUGGAUGAGAAUGACAAACCCAAGAACAAAUAUCCAGGGCAUUGGAAAGGUGAAAAGGGCGUCUACUGUGUUGGCUUCUCAGGGAAGGGAAUUCCGGGGAUUUCGUUUGAUUCUAGGGCUGUUGCUAAUGACAUUCAUCAAAUUUUGCUUGUAAAGACUGGUAAUGCUGCAAGAGAGGUCUAGUCCUACCCGGUGCAUAUGUAUGUGCUUUGCUAGUUUUUGGAAUGGUUCCGCCGGACCCGAACCAUUUAUAAAUAAGAGUGCUUUUGUAGUUUGGUUGCUGUGUUGUUAAACUUGUCAUCUAUGUGUAUCGUGUUGGCUGCAUGUAUUGCAUAUAUGUAUAAACAGACCAUAUGUAUGCUAUAUGUAACUCAAAAGGCCUAUGUAUAUAUGGUUCGAAUAUGCUUAUCUUUUGUUUAGGGACUCUCUCGGAAAACCUUGUGAUUCACAGCAAGAACUUGCAGAGAGAGGAUACGGUCAGAUGAAGUGAAGGAAGCCAGAGGGACUAGGGAUAAACGAACAGAACGCAUCUUGGUGAAGGGUAGCUUUAGUAGCUAGAGAACCUGAUAAUUGAUAUACAAAUAUGCAACGCCAAUAAUCUGCUUAAUUUUGGUCAAGUACAUCGAUUAACUUCCACACUUGGUUAGAUAAGUGAAGAUGGGGGAAAUGAACAAGGAUGGCCACAAAUCGGCUUAAUUGGAAACCAGGACGAACAGGUAGCAGCCAAGAAGAGGUCACACUGGUCUAUGUGAUGAGACUGGUAUGGCAUAGGCAGCGACUUCCUCAUGUUGGAGGAAGUCCCAAAAUUCUACGUUUGGUUGUUCCAAAGAUCAGCCAGACAAGCAAUUGAGAAGGUGAUUUGUGACGGUAAAGAACUAGUUGCAAGAGAACUAUCAAAAGUUUGUGUCAUCCCCAUUAUGCAAAUGUGGAGAGGAAUGAAUCAAAUCCCCAUCAAAAGUAUGAGUUUACAUGGGUUAGGUGAGAAGGCCGAAGCUACAUGUGUUAUGAAAGCUUCUUAAACAGCAUGGCAUUUGCUCAAAAAUAUGCUUUGGCAAUUUAUCAAAACCACAGAACACGGAAACAAUAAAAUCUGGCAAACUUAAGCUUGAAUAUCUAGAUAAUUUAAAAGUCGCAAAAAAGAUGCCACCAACUAGUUGAUCCCGUCAUCAAAACAAAUACACAACAUCAUUAUAGAUUGGUUCACUUCCAUACUCUAAAAAGAAAUUUCAAAAUACUAGAAAAAUCAGCUCAAGUUCAGUCUUGCUUCAUUACUGUUGUUUCACUUCAGCUUUCUUCUUCUGCCAGAGUCGGUCGAGACCACUGUCAGCAUCUCCCUGAGAACAUAAAGCAUGAUAUCAGAAGCAGAUUUCAGUUAUCAAAUAACUAAAAACAGAGACAAACAAAGCCUUAAAGAUAAUCCAGUCUUAAGAUGAGAAAUAAGAACAGAGACCACCUUGCUUUCAACAGACUAAUACUAUGAUGAGAAAUAAGAACAGAGACCACCUUGCUUUCAACAGACUAAUACUAUGAUGAACCAGUAGUCUGAUGAACAAACUCAAUGACACCAAAACAAUAUGCAAAAGAAUACUGAAGACACAGCAAGCUAUGACUUAUACUCAUCUUUUAUGUUACACUUGUUUAUUUCUUCUUAGUUUGAAGAACUUAUCCUUUGUUAUGUAAUAUAACUUGGACAUUAGAGGGCAGGCGCUUCAUAUUUCUAUUUAAAUUCCUUAAAGUUUUAGGAUCAUAGUUCUGUGAAUUCAUUUGCCAUAAGUCAAUAACUAGAUGUAAGAUAUCUCAGUAUAUACCAAACGCAAUUAAAACUAGACAAAUGAAUCCCAAAUCAAACCAACUACCACAAUUACAACACUAUACAAUACUAAAAUGAGUGAAAGAAGGAUAACCUGAGCACGGACGUAACCGCAGAGAGCAAAAGUGGAGAACUGGCCAGUGUAGUUGCCAUUCUCAUCAAGAUGCCCAAUGUUGAUCUGAACAGAUGCAUGAUCCUUCGAGGUGAUCAGCCUGUUAGUCGCUGAGCUGCAUCCACACACCACACAAGUUCAGCUAAAACGUCCAACCAAAUUACAUACCAGACAACGCUAAAACAACAUAACCAAGUUAAGAUUGUAUACCAUUUCCUGGGAAUGUAGAGCUCAGUGAUUUGUCCCUCCUCAUUUUGCAUCUUGAUGAAUGAGUUGAUUACUCCCGCAACGACGACAAAAUCCUACAACCCACAGAAACACAAACAAACCUAAGUUUCUCAAAUCUCGACAAAUUCUAACUGUGCAAGGCAAUUUCCAAGACACCAAAUUGGAAAACAUUCUAUCACAAACAAGAAGAAACAAAUCGUAUCUCUAAGCAAGAACAGUAAGGCUUUUCACACCAUUCCAAUCCAACUAAAAAGCUGUCACAGCCCUAUUUCUGUCUUUUCCAAUACCAAAAUCUAUUGCGGUUACACAAAACUGCUCAAAUCCAAAAGACAAUCACCACAGGCUCACAAAAUUAUACAAAUAUAUCAAAGUUUAAGGCUGUACUAAACGAUUAAGCAAAUUCAAAACAACCAGAUCAAGUAGAUAUAAACUCAGAGCAUGAAUUGAUCGAAAUUGUAGACCAACUAAACCCUAACGAUCUAUGAACGAAGGAUAGGAGAGACAAGAGAGAAGGAGAGAGGGAGGGACAGUACCUGGAGGCUGGAGGCUGCAGGCGGCGAGAGCUUGAGUGAAUGGAGAAUGAGAGACACACUUAGGUUUAUAAAAGAAGAACUGGGCUUAGGGCUUUGGAUAUUCUUCUAUCAAAGCCCACUACUACAAGUCUACAAGACUACGACUUCAUACAGUAAUCACAUCGCAAAUAACACAUAGGAUUUUAUCAACGAAUUUCUUACAUUUACUUAUUUAUUUAUUUGUACUAAAUUGCCAGGAAAUAGAAAAAUUUCUUUUCUUUUCCAACGUCAUGAAUAUUGAAAAAUUUUGAUUGGACCAACAACCAAUGACUUAUACAAUUCAGUUCUCAACUUCACUCGACUGUGUAUGUAAUCGGAAAAAAAUAAAAAAUGUAUUGUAGUGAUUUUCUUCUAAAGAUACUCAAUCAGUCAAUCUGUCGGAGUUGGUCGUUGAAGUGAAUGGUAUAAAAAGGGAAAGAAUAAAACACUAGUUUAAUGGAAAAUUUUAUAAUAAGUUAAUGCAUGUCAUGUAUCAAUUUUGUCCUAAAAUUGUAAAAUAAGUCCUUAAAGUAGUAAUAUUAAUAUUUAAAGUGGUAACUGAGUCCUUAAAAUGAUUAAAAAGAAGUUGAUGCAACUUUGAGGACUCAUGUUAUAACUUUAAAAACUCAAUUAUUUUUUUAAAGACACAUGAGGACUAAUGUUGUAACUAAUUUUUUUACAAGUUUAAAGACUCAUAUUACAAGUUUGAGGACUAAUAUUACUAUUUUAAUAAUUCAUUUUAUAACUGUAAGACAAAGUUGAUGCAUGACUGCAUUAACACACCUCAUACAUUAACACCCACUAGCCUUACUCAUAGUUCAAUACAUGUUUAACGUUGCUUAAAACCUAAAACUCGAUUAUCUAUGAUGUCGAUAUAUAUACUUUCCAAGCUAUUAUGAUAUUCGAAUUCCCUAUUGAACCUUACAUUCUUUUUUGUUAAUCAAGAAAAUCUUCUCAGAACAAGAGCUGCUAAGCAGUUUUUUAGUACAGUCAUGGUGCAGAACGUCCCAAAGAAGCAUUCUGAAACCAUAGAGAACUUGUUCUAUCUUCAUAGACAAUAGCAGCUAAUUAUCUAUGUGCAACAUUUUUGAAUUUUGCAGUCUUUUAACUUACAUUACUCACAAUAAACAAAAGGUAUAUAUAGAGCAAGCACAAGCUAGAACAUCUCAAAUCAAUAUAAAAUUUCCACACUAGGGACCAAUAUAAAGGAAAAUGUUUCUAGGCCUUAUUAAGGCUUAGGAUUUAUGGCAUUAAUCCUAAGUGGCAUGCCAAAUCACCUAUCCACAUCAUCAAAUAAAAAAAUACAUGUUAUGUCAUUUUUAGGUUAAAAAUACAAUCUUAUCCUUUCAUAUCCAAUGGUUCUAGAUUAUUUUGUUUUUAUUCUAUAAAAAAUGUUUUUAAGCCUUUUUUUCAUUAUUCAUGCUUAAAUUUAAAUAUGAAAUAUAUAUACAUAUAUAUAUAAUUAUACUCAGUUUGAAAAUAUGAACUUAUUUGAAUAUAUAUAUUGUUUUCAAAAAAAAUAUAUACACAUACAUAAUUUUUUCAAGGAGAAAAUUAUAUAUAUAUCUAUAUAUUUGUCCAAAAACCUUUAUAUAUAGUUCAUCCAAUAUAAAUUUGAUAGAGAUUUUAUUUUUUUAUUUCAUUUUUAAAGUUCGAUGGUGAAUUAUAUAUAAAAUAAUGGUGAAUUAUGAAGUCUAAAACUAUUUGAUUCACAAAGCUAAUUUUUUAUUUAUUAAUAUCGUAAUUGUGGCCCUAAAUGUAAUGAAUUAUUAUAAUAUUUGACUACAUAAAGAAAUGCAUUUAAUUUAGUUCAUGUAAGGUAACAAAAUCAACUACAUAAAAAUGGUAACUAAAUCAUCUUGAUGAAAAUGAACAAUAAUUAUUCAAAUUGAUGCAUGAAAUAUAGGGAUUGAAUAAGUAAGAAACUACAAUGAAUCAAUGAAUUGAUGGUGUUUUGGUUUUAGAUAGAUCGUUAUCAAUAAAUUAUGGUAUAUAACUAUAUAUGCCUAUAUGUAUUAAGAUACAUUUAAUUUAGUUCAUGUAAGGUAACUAAAUCAACUACAUAAAAAUGGUAACUAAAUCAUCUUGAUGAAAAUAAACAAUAUUUGGUAUAAUUAUUCGUUAAUUUGGUGUGAUUAUUAAUUAGAUCGUUAUGAAUAAAUUAUAGUUGGUAUAGGGUAUCUAUAUAGGCAUGUCCAUAUUUAUAAGAGGAUAUGCAAACAUUCCAUAUUAGUAUAUGUAUUGCCAUCUAUAGACAAAUCCUCCUUAUUAAUCAGAAAAAUCAAACCUUAAAUUAAAUUUGCAAAAUAGAAAGAAAAUAUAUUAUACACAUUUAUAUCGGUACCUCACGAAAUAUUGUGAUGGAGUUCAGCAUGAGAUUUUUUUGGCAAGAGAUGAACUUCACUGAAUAGGUGUGAGAUAUAGUGAUUAAUUAAGUAUAUUAAGUGUGAAGUGUACUUCAUUUAAUGAAUCAAAUAUCUAAAAUAGAAGUCAUCAUCCACAUUAACAUAAACUAAUAUACUGUUUUACACAAAUAAAUACGUACUAGAUAUCCAAUGAUUAUUUCAAUAAUAUUGAAAAAAGAAGCUAGCCAUCAUUGAUAUUGUGAUUUGAAGUCAAGAACAUAUCUUAUAGUACCGGUACCUCACGAAAUAUUGUGAUGGACUUCAGCAUGAGAUUUUUUUGGCAAGAGAUGAACUUCAUUGAAUAGGUAUGAGAUAUAAUGAUUGAAUAAGUAUGUUAAGUGUGAAGUGUACUUCAUUUAAUGAAUCAAAUAUCUUUUAUCUAAAAUAGAAGUCAUAUACUGUUCUACACAAAUAAAUACGUACUAGGUAUCCAAUGAUGAUUUCAAUAACAUUGAAAAAAAAAGCUAGCUAGCCAUCAUUGAUAUAGUGAUUUGAAAUCAGGAACAUAUCUUAUAGUAACAAACAAGUAUUAAGUAGUAAAUAAUGAACUAAUAAUGUUCUCUUAGAAUUUUUCCCUAAUAGAAUAUUCACAUUAAAAUAAAAUUAGUCAUUGUUCGCAUUGAAAUUCAAAGUCAUAAACAUGUCACAUAGUAAUAAAUAAGUUACAAGUACCAAUAAUAAUCUAGUAAUGUUCACUUGGAACAUUUCCCAAAUAGCAUGUUCACAUUGAACUUCACAUUGAAAUAAAAGACAUUAUUUACAUUAAAAUUUGAAGUCGUUGUUCACAUUGAAAUUUAAAGUCCUAAACAUGUUUUAUAAUAACAAAUAAGUUAUAAGUAGCAGAUAAUAAGCUAGUAAUUUUCACUUGGAACGUUUCCAUAAUGACAUAUUCACAUUGAAAUAGAAGUCGAUCAUUUUUUUUUUUUAAACGUUUUAUUAAUAACUCACACACCUUACAUAUGUCAGUGAGGUUUGAACCUAUGACCUUAAAGUUGUCAGUUAAACACCUUAAUUAACCAACCAAGCCACGGCUCACCGACAAUAGAAGUCGAUCAUUAUACACAUUGAAGUUCACAUUCAAAUAUUCAAAUAGAAGUCAUUUUUCACAUUUAGAUUUAAAAUGAUAAGCAUAAGUUAUAAAUAGCCAAUGAUGAGCUAGUACGUAAUGAUCACUAGCUAAACAAAUAAAUACUAAGUAGCUGACAAUGAGCUACUAAAGUUCACUAUAAACCUCUCUUUAGUGGAAUAUUCACACUAAAUAAAAAAAAGUAUUAAGUAGCUAAUUAUGUGCUACAUGCAAGUUCACUAAGGACGUAUCACUACCAGGACAAACACUUUAGCCGACGAAAAAUUUUCGUCGGCCUGUUAUCUUAAUUCGUCGGCUAAGGUCUUAGCCGACGAAGGCUCGUCGGCUAUAGUGUCGUCGGGAAAAGGUCGUCGGUGAUGACUUUAGCAGACGAAAUUUUUUUUUUCGUCGGCUAUAGUCCCACAGUUAGCCGACGAAAAACAUGUCGUCGGUUUUUUUCCCAAACUUUAGCCGACGAAACAAUUAAUAUAUUCGUCGGCUAAAGUGUGUAAUAAAUAUUUAAAAAUNNNNNNNNNNNNNNNNNNNNAUAUAUAUAUGUAUCUAUAUAUAUUUUUAUAUAUAGUUCAUCCAAUAUAAAUUCGAUAGAGAUUUUCUUUUCAUUUUUAUUUCUUUUUUAAAGUUCGAUGGAGAAUAUAUAUAUAUAUAUAUAUAUAUGUAAAAAGAAAAAAUAAUGGUGUAUUAAGAAGUCUAAAACUAUUUGAUUCACAAAGAUAAUUUUUUUUAUUAAUAUUGUAAUUGUGACCCUAAAUCUAAUGAAUUAUUAUAAUAUUUGACUCCAUAAAGAAAUGCAUUUAAUUUAGUUCAUGUAAGAUAACUAAAUCAACUCGAUUAAAAAAGUUAACUAAAUGAUUUUGAUGAAAACAAAAAACAAUAUUUGGUAUUAUUAUUCGUUAAUUUGGUGUGAUUAUUAAUUAGAUCAUUAUUAAUAAACAAUAUUUGGUAUAGGCUAUAUUAGUAUAAGUACUGUCAUAUGUAAAUCAAUCCUCCUUAUAAUAAGAUAGUCAGAAAAAUCAAAACUUAAAUUAAAUUGGCAAAUUGGAAAUAAAAUUUAACAUUCAUAUUCAGUAGCUCAUGAAAUAUUGUGAUUCAAGAGGUAAGAACUUCCUCACUAAUAAAUUGACUUUUUAUGAAGGUUUAAAAUUUUCAUUUAUGAUAUUGAUUUAAAAUGUUGAUUUAGGUAACUUGAUCACCAUACUCUGAAUUAUUUUCCUUGUUCGUUCAAAUCAUAAUAAGUUUACAUCACGCAUGAGAUUUUUUUGAUCAAUAGACAAGCUUCAUUGAAUAGGUAUGAGAUAUAGUGAUUCAAUAGGUAUGUUAAGUGUGAAGUGAUACUUCAUUUAAGGAAUGUCUAAAAUAAAAGUCAUCAUCCACAUUAACAUAAAAUAACAUAUUGUUCUACAUGAAUAAAUACUUACUAGGUAUCUGAUGAUGAUUUCAAUAACAUUGAAAAAGAAGCUAGCCAUCUUUGAUAUAGCGAUUUGAAGUCAUGAACAUAUCUUAUAGUAACAAACAAGUACUAAGUAGUUAAUAAUGAACUAACAAUGUUCCCUUGGAACUUUUCCCUAAUAGAAUAUUUACAUUGAAAUAAAAAAACAUUGUUCACAUUGAAAUUCAAAGUCAUAAAUAUGUCACAUAGUAACAAAUAAGUUACAAGUACCGAUAAUAACCUAGUAAUGUUCACUUGGAACUUUUCCCAAAUAGCAUGUUCACAUUGAAAUAGAAGACAUUACUUACAUUAAUUAAAAUUUGAAGUCGUCGUUCACAUUGAAAUUUAAAGUCCUAAACAUGUCUUAUAGUAACAAAUAAGUUAUAAGUAGCGGAUAAUAAAUUAGAAAUUUUCACUUAGAACAUUUCCCUAAUGACAUAUUCACAUUGAAAUAGAAGUCAUUAUACACAUUAAGGUUCACAUUCAAAUAGAAGUCAUUAUUCACAUUGAGAUUUAAAAUGAUAAACAUAAGUUAUGAGCAACCAAUGAUGAGCUAGUACGUAAUGAUCACUAAACAAAUAAGUGCUAAGUAGCUGACAGUGAGCUACUAAAGUUCACUAUAAACUUUUCUUUAGUGGAAUAUUCAUGUAUACUACAAUAAAAGAAAUAAGAACUAAGUAGCUAACUAUGUGCUACCUGCAAGUUCACUGAGGACCUUUCCUAGCUUAAUGUCGUAUUCACAUUAAAAUGGAAUAAAUAAGUAUGGGGUUUAGGGAUAAGAGUUUAGGGUUUAGGGUUUAGGGAUAAGAGUUUAGAGUUUAGAGUUUAGGGUUUAAAGAUUAAAUAUAUUAAGUAGUUAAUAAUGAGCCAAGUACAAGUUCGCCGGGGACUUUCCCUAAUGGCAUAUUCGCACUAAAACGUACAUAACACAUUAUACAUAUUAAAUGUCUCAUGUAUUAAUUUCAUCAUUUUUAAAGUCUCAUGUAUUAACUACUUUGCAUGUUUAAGCCAUUUUUAUACUUCUCCCAUCUACUUGGCAGUACGUAUACUAAUAUAAAUGUUUGCAUAUCCUCUUAAUACAGACAUGCCUAUACCAAAUAUAGUUUAUUAAUAACGAUCUAAUUAAUAAUCACACCAAAUUAACGAAUAAUUAUACCAAAUAUUGUUUAUUUUCAUCAAGAUGAUUUAGUUACCAUUUUUAUGAAGUUGAUUUAGUUAGCUUACAUAAACUAAAUUAAAUGCAUUUCUUUAUGGAGUCAAAUAUUAUAAUAAUUCAUUAAAUUUAGGGUCACAAUUACGAUAUUUAAUAAAAAAAAUCUUUGUGAAUCAAAUAGUUUUAGAUUUCUUAAUUCACCGUUAUUUUUUCUUUUUACUAUAUAUAUAUAUAUAUACAAGGCCUUUCAAUGAGAGAUUCCUUAUUUUUUGUCUAUUUUUAGGGAUAGGCCCAUAUCAUUAGAUCUGUUUUUUAAUGGGCUUGAAUGGCUGAGAAUUAAAAAAAAAAACUUAACACUUANNNNNNNNNNNNNNNNNNNNNNNNNNNNNNNNNNNNNNNNNNNNNNNNNNNNNNNNNNNNNNNNNNNNNNNNNNNNNNNNNNNNNNNNNNNNNNNNNNNNNNNNNNNNNNNNNNNNNNNNNNNNNNNNNNNNNNNNNNNNNNNNNNNNNNNNNNNNNNNNNNNNNNNNNNNNNNNNNNNNNNNNNNNNNNNNNNNNNNNNNNNNNNNNNNNNNNNNNNNNNNNNNNNNNNNNNNNNNNNNNNNNNNNNNNNNNNNNNNNNNNNNNNNNNNNNNNNNNNNNNNNNNNNNNNNNNNNNNNNNNNNNNNNNNNNNNNNNNNNNNNNNNNNNNNNNNNNNNNNNNNNNNNNNNNNNNNNNNNNNNNNNNNNNNNNNNNNNNNNNNNNNNNNNNNNNNNNNNNNNNNNNNNNNNNNNNNNNNNNNNNNNNNNNNNNNNNNNNNNUUAUGUAUGUGUGUGUAUAUAUAUAUAUAUAUAUAAUAUAUGUAUAUAUAAAUGAGUUCAUAUUUCGAACCGAGUAUAAUUAUAUAUAUAUAUAUAUAUUUCACAUUUAAAUUUAAGCACGAGUAAUGAAAAAAAUAGCUUUAAAAACAUUUUUUUAUAGAAUAAAAUAAUUUAGAGUCAUUGGAUAUGAAAUAAUAAGAUUGCAUUUUUACCCAAAAAUGACAGCAUGAUUUUUUAAUUUAAUGAUAUGGAUAGGUGACUUGGCAUGUCACCUAAGAUUAAGACGUACCAUAAAUCAUAAGCCUUAAUAAGAUUCUCUAGCACUACCCUAAUAUAAAAUUCCCACACUAAGGACCAGAAGAAUGCCCCAAAUUGCAAAACUUGAACCAAAUAACGACGUACUGGACUAUGAGUACGUAUACGUAAACAUAAUUAGACUUUCACAUAUAAACCAGGUAUAUCUUCUUAAUUCACAGCCCUGCAGUUCUUCCUGAUCUCUCCUUGUUUCCCAACCAACACAUCAAUGGAACCCAUCUUCACCAUCGCAGCAGCAAACUCCAAACCCCAUCUCCCCGGAUGGUUUCGGUUGUACUUCACCAUCUUCCUAGUCAAAUCACUGCUCCAAAGCUCCUGAUCCGUUGCCAACAACCCUUUGUGACCCACCAAAUUCUUAUAGUAGUUGUUAUCGAGCAAAGUUGGGGUUAAGGGAUCAAAAGCCACAACCGGAUCAACACCAUUUUUCACAUUAGGGCAUUUGGAUUUCAAGUACUCCCCAUAAGCCGCAUCAAGUUCAGGGUCUUGUGCAUGUGUUUUGUUAAAGGAGUACAGUCGUUUUGAGAAGGAAGAGCAGUGUGAGUCCCCAAUGGAGUGAGCUCCAGAGAGCGUCACCAUAUCUUUCAGUGACAACCCUUUUCUUGCAAAGUUGGUCUUCAGUUGUGUUGCGUUCAAAAACGCAUCAGGGAGGUUUUUGGUCACUUCUGAAACCAACGAGACCGUUCCGUCACGGCGGCCUCCGGGGGCAGAGUAGUAUGUUCCCCCCGUGAUAAAAACACUGUCUCGGGCAGCGAAGGUGAUUAUGUCUGCACAGGAGACGGUGUUGGGGCAUUGAGCUUCUAUAUUGGCCUUGGCUUCGUCUAUGACCUCAAAGCCUUGGACGCCUUUGUUUCCCAUGCUUUCUUUUUCUGCAGCUGGCUUGCCAGGUUUCGAAUCGAGCAGAAUUGAUGCAUCGCAACCCUAAGUAAAAUCAAAGCAGGAGUUUAUAUUAAAUGGUCCUAGAUCGAAUUUCCUUCAAGAGUUUAGCUAAACUACAUCUUAUAUCCAGAAGUGCAUGUCAUCGCACGCCAACCAGGUGAUUACUCUUGUGAGAUGAAAAUUGUAUAAAAUAUUGGUUGCAAUAUGCAAGAAUAUUCAUUAAUUUUCUUUUACAUAUUUGUAGCUAGCUAGCUCUUUACACUUUCUUUUUCAUUAUAUUACUCCGAUCCAAAUGUACUCAUGAAAUAUUUCAAUCCUCUCCUCUGAUUACAAAGGAAUGAGCAAUAAUCUCUGAAUAUAAACUCGGAAAUAAAAGAAUAGUUGUCGAACGUACGUACCAUGACAAAGCAAUCGUGGAAAUGGAGUCUGAUGAGCGCAGCAGCUAUGCCCGGAUCUGUUGCGGCUGCCUUCUUCACUGUAUCUCUCACAAUCAUCUCCGCCGAGGGGCAUGAUUUCCGGUAGGAACCAACCUCCAAAGGCACAGAGGCGACCGGUGACGAGACCAAACCCACCAAGAUCAGCAGCAAACCGAAGCAACUGAUGAACAAGUUUGCCGGCAUUGGAUCUAAAUAUCAAACCCUAAAACUUAACUCGAGCUUAAAUGACAGAGAAAAAGGAUCGAGUGAAGCACAUAUAUGGAAAAGCCUUGCUAGCUACUGCAAAUUUAUAGCAAAGUGAGUAUGAGCAAAGCCAUAGGAAUGCCAAACCAGCAGGCAAUUGUAGUGAGGCUUCGGAAAUUGGUAAACAAAUCACAACAUACAGAUUAAAAAUGAAAGGCGUGUGCCCCCCGCACGACUCACUCAUUCCGCUGCGUUAUUAUAUCACUGAAAUAGAUCGACGAGUGUGAAAAUGAGAAUCUAAUGACCUAGCAUGGCGAGUCUUUUACCCACCUUUAUAGAUGCAAUGUUAAGAGGGUCAUUUGUUUUCCCCGUCGUUCAAUGUUUAAAUGUAUAUAACAAAGAAUUAGAAUCAAACUAAUGACCAUGAGUACGUUUGCACGUAGUGUAGUACGAUUUGUUGAGAAGUACGAUGAUUGUAAUCUUAUAUGACUGUCCAACAUCUAUUCAUCUUGUUUUAAACAUCAAAAAUCCAAGUAUAACACUCUAUUACUUAACUUUACGAAUGUAGAAUUUUAUAUCGGAACUUCACACGCAAUAUUUCAACAUUUCAACGUAGAAAUUAAUUGUUUGACAUACCCCUUUUAACAUUGGAUUUGUUCUCCCUUCAAUUCGAUAUAAUUUUCCUAUGAAUUACUAUGGUCACUACAAGUCUAAACCCCACAUUUAAAUGCCGUAAUGUGUAUGUAUGUCAUAAACUUGGUAAUGUGUGUGCAUGUGGGUCUUCUACUUGGUUCGGUGUAGUAAAGUUCUAUCAAACUAUAUACUAAAAGCAGAAUCGAUCACACAUUAUUAUCGAUUUUGGGCAGAAUUAGUAUAAUGUUGAUCAAGUCCUCUAAUUAGUCUUGCAUCUCAAGCAAACUCUCAUGAGGAACCGAUAUACAUCACAAUUCAACCCCAUGUAUCAAGUCGAUCAUUUAUAUAUAUUUCAAUGAAUCACAGUUCUCAACUAUUUGAAAACCAUGGGAAUGCAUGGACACAAUCUAGAACAGACAUCAAGUCGCAAGUGACUAUAAAUUAAGAUCAAGUCGCGACUGUUCCCCCUUCGUUUGCAUUUCGCCUUCAUUGAUCAAAGCGAUGGAAACUUUCAUUGCUUUGGUCCACAACCCACAGAAUAUAUGCUACUAUAGCUUCUUUGUUCAAAGCUGGCAACUAUAGAAGCUUGGACGAUAUAAAUGUGCUUCGUUUUGUUUAUCUCACAUUCUCACAAUUUAACAUAUUUCUAAUUUUUUUGAAAAUAGUUCCAAGGUACACUUCCACGUAUGUUAGAUAUAUUUUUGGUUCUGGGUUUUGUAACAUUUCUUCAUUCAAUGUUAGUUGAUUUUUGUUGCCAAAGAAAAAAAAACGCGAAGAUAAAUUUGUAUAGUAUUUGUGGUUGCCCUAAACUCCACAAAUUAAGACAAUUACAAGGCCUUCAAUAAUUAACCACCCUAACACUAUGAAGGUACGUUGUUUGGUGCAAAGUGAAUAAAACACUUAGUAAAUUUAGCUCUUUUAACAAAUAACCCAUCUAGCUCCAACCUAAAAUUUCAGACAAAAGGUUAAAAUUAAGGGAAAAUGCUCAUUUAGUACUAAUUCAAACCCCUUAUUUCCCAUUCCAAUGAUAAUUUUUUGCAUUAGCCCAUUCCAAUAUAAGGUAACCUUUUUUAUGCCCAAAUGCACAAAUCUUUUACGCCUAAAUGCACAAAUCUUUAUUAAAGUCUUAACAAACCAUAUUAUUUUAAAACUAUUUUUCCCCACCUCUUCAACAUGAAAAGACUUGGCCGGAACCUCGGACUCCGGUCACCGGCCGCCGGACUCCAGUCACCGGAAUUUCCUUGACCGCCGGAUUCCGGUCACCGGAAUUUCCCCGACCGUCGGACUCCGAUCACUGGAUUUUCCCCUGUAACCAGUUACUGACCAGUUACUAGCCCCUAGUAACCCGUUACUGACACCCAAUAAUCACUUAGUUUUCAGUUACUGACACCCAGUAAUCAUCCAAUAAUCACUUACUAACCCCUACUAACCAGUUACUGACACCCAGUAACCAGUUACUGACACCCAAUAAUCACUUGGUUUUCAAUUACUGACACCCAGUAAUCAUCCAAUAAUCACUUACUCAUCCCCAAUAAUCGAGUUACUGACCCCAAUAACUUUUAGUUUUCAGUUACUGACACUCAAUAAUCACUUAGUUUUCAGUUAUUGACACCCAGUAAUCACCCAAUAACCACUUACUGACCCUCAAUAAUCAGGUUACAAACCUCAAAUAAUAAGUUACUGACCUCAAUAAUUACUUAUCAAUCCUCAAUAAUCACUUACUGACCCUAAUAUUCAAGAAAAAAAAAAUCUUUAACUGACUUGAACUGGGCACCCAUAAUUUCUUCUCUGGGCACCCACCUUCCCCGAUGGUGAGCACACUAGCCUCCUCCACCGAACCCGGCGCACCUCACUCUGCAUAACAAGUCCAGAUCCGGCGCACCUCACCUCACUCCACCGAACCCGACGCACCUCACCUCACGUCGGCAAGCAGUGCCCUUCCCCAGCCACGAUCCAGCCUGGAUUGAACUCCAGCCAAGUUGCAGCUCGCUAAUAUCUACACCAUCUCGUCGUCGCCGGCUUGGCGCAGAUCGGAGUCGCUCCGGGAUCAGAUAGGAGAUCUGGUGAGGUGGAGGAAGGACUAGACGCCGUCGUAGGCGUAGGAGAUCUGGUGUGGUGCGGUGGAGGCGAGGUGAUAAGGUCUGGGUUGAUGAGAGAGAGAGAGAGAGAGAGAGAGAGAGAGAGAGAGAGAGAGAGAGAGAGAGAGAGAGAGAGAGAGAGAGAGAGAGAGAGAGAGNNNNNNNNNNNNNNNNNNNNNNNNNNNNNNNNNNNNNNNNNNNNNNNNNNNNNNNNNNNNNNNNNNNNNNNNNNNGAGAGAGAGAGAGGUUUAAGAGAGAGAAGAGGACAUACUUGUAAUUUUAUCAAAAAUCAUUAGAAUGGGCUAAGAGAAAAGAUUUACAUUGAAGUGGGUAUUAAAAUCCCUGUUUUUGUGCAUUUGGGCAUUUUCCCUAAAAUUAACCCACACUACCAGUACAAGCACUUUAGCCGACGAAAAAUUUUCGUCGGCCUGUUAGCUUAAUUCGUCGGUUAAGAUCUUAACCGACGAAAGCUCGUCGGCUAAGAUUUCGUCGGGAAAAGGUCGUCUGUGGUGACUUUAGCCGACGACACAUAAAGAAGUCGUCAGCUAUAGUCGCAGAGUUUAGCCGACGAAAAACAUGUCGUCGGUUAUCUUCCCAGACUUUAGCCGACGAAACAUUUAAUAUAUUCGUCGGCUAUAGUCCUAGAGUUUAGCCGACGAAAAAAAAUGUCAUCGGUUUUUUCUCAGACUUUAGCCGACGAAACAUUUAAUAUAUUUGUCGGCUAAAGUGUGUAAUAAAAAAAAUUAAAAAUAACUAAAGCCGACGAAAUAUUGUCUAUUUCGUCAGCUUUAUAGGGGUUUAGCCGACGAAUUAAAGCGUAAUUCGUCGGCUAAAAUUUAUUUUAAAAAAAUAAAAAUACUAUAGCCGACGAAUUAAGGUAUUUUUCGUCGGCUAUAAGUCCAUUCCAGUGGAAAAAAAAACCCCGAAAAUUCUAAAUUACCAUUCCAAGCAAGCUGCAAAAUACACCAAAACAAUUCCAUAUAACCAACAACAAGCACAUAAAACUAUAUAAUUCAUCAACUACACAAAAUCUAAAUCGUCUAAAUUAAUAUCCGCUUCUGGGGGCUGCUGCGAGGUUGCGGCGGCUGGGGUAGCGGUAUAGCCGUAGACAUGGGUGGAGCCGGAAGUCCCUGAAGCUGGGCAGUUGUAAAGUCCUGCAUGUACUGGAACAUCUGCUGCUGAUGGGCCUGCUUGAUGGCAUGUAUCUCGGCAACAUAGGCUGCCUGCGCGGCAUUAUAGGCAGCCUGAGUAGCUUGCUGUUCCCGUAGUCUCUGAACUUCCGACUCUAGCUGACUCGUCCUGGUGGUCGUGGACGUGGUCCUGCUGCUGGUCGAGGCUGCCUUUUGUUGAAAUCCUGGAGUGGUCUUCAGGACCCCCUCGCCCUUCUUUCCUAGACCCCGGCAGUAGAAGUUGUUUGUUCUCGGUGGGAAGGCUGUGCCCAUGAUCCUCGCCCCAAUCGUCGGAUCCGAAGUGUCGAUCCGGGACAUGGCUUCGGACAUCUCUUCCUCUUGCGUGUCCGGCCAUGUCUCCCUCACUAUAACACUCAUCACCUCGUCACUAGCCUCCCUCACCUUCGCCUAUAUGGAUAGGAAAAAAAUUAUUAAUUAACAUUUUGACAUAUAUAUAAGUAAAUUUAAAAAUUUAAAAACGUAAAAUGACUUACAAUAUCCUCCUGGGCGUCAGGAUAUGCUUUCUCGUACGUAUAGACGUACCGGUUGACUUCUGGAUGUUCACUGGCCGCCUCGUCCAUGAAGACAGCGAAUGGUCUAGAACCGCCAUGAUGGUUCCUUGUGUUGCGUUGCCGGUUCUGAGAAUUCGCUCUGGAAACGGCCUUCAAAGAAAAAAAUAAAUUAUUAGUAAAAUAUUUAAAAACGGACGUACUUAAUAACAAAUUAACUAAUUAAUUUUUUUAAAUACCUGUUUACGAGGGUUGUUGAAUUCUGAUGUCAGAAGCCAACGCCACUUGUACUCCCUGUACUGGAACUCAGCAGGGGUACCAGAACGUGUGUUCCCGUGCGUAGUCCAGUGGGUCCGCCACUCGUUCUUCCACUCUUGUACCUACAGAUACAACAAAAAUAUUAGAAAUAUUAUUAAUAUCACAUACAAUUUUGUUUUUCAUUAACUUCCCAACGUACAUUCCUCCAUGCACAACGUCCGCCCAGCUGUCCUUCAGGUGCUCGAGAACCUCAAACCACACCUGCAUUUAACCGUUUGUUGGUUUAGUUUUUCGAGAAAUCAACAAUGUAAUACAUAAUAUUAUUUUGUAAACUCACCGACAUCACGUUGUGAACCAUGUCCUUAACCUUCUGCGGGACCUCGCCCCAGUCUGACCACAACAUAGGGACUCUAUCCCUAAUGAGCGUUCCCACGCGGCCGGAGUACGUCCUCGACUUCCUGCCCGAUACUAUGUGGCCAUCCCCGUCAGUAUUGAUGACGAUCCUCCCCACGGUACCCACGAUCUUCUCGAGAGCCUUCCCUGUGACGGGGCCUCUCUUCUUUUUUGUCGGCUUCGCUCCGACGGUGCCUAUCACAUGAUAAACAAAAUUGAUUAUUAAAAUCGGAGACCCUUUAUUAUUAAUUAUAAGAAAACAAAUCAUUCAUCACUGAUUACCUGAGGCGCUCGCGGCGGACGCGAUGGAUUCCAUCUCUGUCGCCGAUGAUGAUACCCUCGCAGAAAUAAGAGGCGUAUCAAAAGGCACGAACCGGUACGCCGUUGAUGGAGCCACUGGCGGGGGCAGUGGAUAAAUCGGUGUCCCUGAGCCAUCGACUACAGGUAAGGCCGGUAUCAUCUGCGGAAGGAACAGAGAGGCGGCGGCGGCAUUUGUACCCUAGAUGACCCACUAUCCGAAGAAGUAGGACCCGGAGUCGGCGCCCGAUGUAUCUCAGGCAUACCGGGUGCAGACACCUCCGUCUGGGUCUGAGGCCACAGCUGCCUCGAGGAACGAGGGACGCCCGCCUGCCUCGAUGAAAGGGGCACCACCGGCUGCCUCUGCGCCGUCUCCAGAAGGCUCGCACGUCUGGCUGUCAUCUGGCCCUGAGACGACGUUUGAGGGUUGCUAGAGGUUCCCUCAGACGAUUCGGACCUUUGGCCCUUCGAACUCUUCUUCGAUCUAAAAUAGCCGCUCAUCCUAUUUAAAAUAUUAAUUUGAAUCAAGGCUGAGGCAUGGGCGGAUACACUCAUUCAAUGUUGCUCGUUAAUUCAAGGCUGAGGCAACAUUAAAAAGUAAAAAUUCAAUCUUAUCCUUCUCAAAUCUAAGGCUACCAUUUUGUCUUUAUUCUAUAAAAA
rnacentral:lncRNA from 1 species